GACGAACGCUGGCGGCGUGCUUAACACAUGCAAGUCGAACGGAAAGGCCCUGCUUUUGUGGGGUGCUCGAGUGGCGAACGGGUGAGUAACACGUGAGUAACCUGCCCUUGACUUUGGGAUAACUUCAGGAAACUGGGUCUAAUACCGGAUAGGAGCUCCUGCUUCAUGGUGGGGGUUGGAAAGUUUCGGCGGUUGGGGAUGGACUCGCGGCUUAUCAGCUUGUUGGUGGGGUAGUGGCUGACCAAGGCUUUGACGGGUAGCCGGCCUGAGAGGGUGACCGGCCACAUUGGGACUGAGAUACGGCCCAGACUACUACGGGAGGCAGCAGUGGGGAAUAUUGCACAAUGGGCGGAAGCCUGAUGCAGCAACGCCGCGUGCGGGAUGACGGCCUUCGGGUUGUAAACCGCUUUCGCCUGUGACGAAGCGUGAGUGACGGUAAUGGGUAAAGAAGCACCGGCUAACUACGUG
rnacentral:rRNA from 1 species